rnacentral:rRNA from 1 species
UACGGGGGGGGCAAGCGUUGUUCGGAAUUACUGGGCGUAAAGGGCUCGUAGGUGGCCAACUAAGUCAGACGUGAAAUCCCUCGGCUUAACCGGGGAACUGCGUCUGAUACUGGAUGGCUUGAGUUUGGGAGAGGGAUGCGGAAUUCCAGGUGUAGCGGUGAAAUGCGUAGAUAUCAGGAGGAACACCGGUGGUGUAGACGGCUCUCUGGACCGUAACUGACGCUGAGACACGAAAGCGUGGGUAGCAAACAGG